rnacentral:lncRNA from 1 species
AUGUUAUUCCUCUGUCUGAAUGCCCUUCCCUCCCUCCUGGCAGGAGCCUGCUCACUCGUCUUUGGACACAACGCUCAAAGGCGAUGUCUGCUGUGUUCCAAUGUAGGUGAUGCCUCCUCCUGUGCUCUCCCAGACCUCGGCCAAGCCAGUCCUGCACUCCUGGCUGUGUGGGGUCACCCUUCAGCUCUGUUCGGUCUCCCACACCAGGGGCCAGAGAGGACCCAGGAAUGCUGAGAUUCAGUCUUGUCCCUGAGUCCCGCAAAACCCACCAGCGGUGGGAUCCUUUAUGAGUUCUUGACCACGACUGAUCUGAUCUGUUCGCACUCCUCACGAAGCUUCCUCCUGCUUGGACUCAACUUCAGCGCUAAGGCCGGGAUCUGAGGAGGUCCCUUGUUUUGCAGGGAGCUUCCUUACCGGCACACCCCUGUCCCCUACUCUAACGGCUCUUGUUCAGCACUCAAUAGUUUGUUUACAAAAGAACUGCCCUUUAAGCUUGAGGGGAGUCUAGGAUAAGUAAAAGGGACACAAUGUGCCUGCAGGAGAUUUUCAAAAGACCCCAAAAAGAAGGAGUCAGUGAAGCCAGAGGCUUCGGCGGGGUCUCCCGUGGGUCUGUUUUCCUCCUUUCCAAAGCUGCAUUUCCACCACACUCAUACCUUGCGUUGGGCACCUGUCAACACAAGCCUGAUUUGAGUGACUAAAGUCUUGUAUGUGCCCGAAACCCAGACACAUGGGUCCUUUUUAUUACCUCUACUGCUGACCGCCACCAGGAGACAGACAGGAGGGCAGGUCUGAAGGCGUUUUGAGGAAAACAGGUCGGGGGCCUAUGACCUCUCCCCAUGCUGUUUGUAGGAGGAGAAGAUGCCAUGAAGCUGGGAUAUUUUCUUAAUUAAGAAUUCUUAAUUAAAGAUUAUAAAUUUGCACGGAAUAUUUGUGUUUGCUGAUCCUUGCAAUUCUCACCCUGACCAGUGUUCUUUUCCUUCCUUCCUUUCUUUCUUUCUUAUCUUGUAUAUAUUUUUUAAAGUCACCUUAAAUCUAUUCUGGUACAAGAUGGAGUGUCCAUACGUAUGUAGCUUUGCUCAAAGGCUGGCAAAUAAGAGCUCUUUUGAAUUCAUGAAUGAGUGAUUUGUGAGGGAAUGAAAUAUCUGGGUUGGGACAGGAAAGAGGGGCAGGUGAGUAAUAAGAGUUGUGUUCAGGUCACAGAGGGGGACAAACAGAAGCAGCAGACAGUCAGAACACGAGGCAGGUGUUGGUGUCCAAGGGCUGCUUCAGAGAGAAGUUAGUGGCAAAAUGGACAAGCAUUAAUAAGGUACCAGUGGAAAGAGGGAAACUGAGUCAGCCAAGAACACAGAACCCCAAGGUGACAGCAAAUGCUGUAAGAAAGAAUAAAAACAUGCGAGGCUUGUGCGAAGUCCA